GCCAGGUGCAGAGGCAUGCGCCUGUAAUCCCAGCUACUUGGGAGGCUGAGACAGGAGAAUCGCUUGAACCCAGGAGGUGGAGGUUGCAGUGAGCUGAGAUCGCACCACUGCACUCCAGCCUGGGUGACAGAGUGAGACUCCGUCUCAA
rnacentral:SRP_RNA from 2 species